rnacentral:rRNA from 1 species
UGGGGAAUCUUGCACAAUGGGCGAAAGCCUGAUGCAGCCAUGCCGCGUGAAUGAUGAAGGCCUUAGGGUUGUAAAAUUCUUUCGCUAGGGAUGAUAAUGACAGUACCUAGUAAAGAAGCCCCGGCUAACUUCGUGCCAGCAGCCGCGGUAAUACGAAGGGGGCUAGCGUUGUUCGGAAUUACUGGGCGUAAAGCGCACGUAGGCGGACUUUUAAGUCAGAUGUGAAAUCCCGAGGCUCAACCUCGGAACUGCAUUUGAAACUGGAAGUCUAGAGACCAGGAGAGGUUAGCGGAAUACCGAGUGUAGAGGUGAAAUUCGUAGAUAUUCGGUGGAACACCAGUGGCGAAGGCGGCUAACUGGACUGGUACUGACGCUGAGGUGCGAAAGUGUGGGGAGCAAACAGGAUUAGAUACCCUGGUAGUCCACACCGUAAACGAUGAGAGCUAGUUGUUGGCAGGCAUGCCUGUCGGUGACGCAGCUAACGCAUUAAGCUCUCCGCCUGGGGAGUACGGCCGCAAGGUUA